GCCUCUAUCAUUCUCUAUGGUCCCUUCCUGUUUGGUUCCGUUUGCUCUGUUUACUACCGUUUGGUUCUUAAACUGAGUCAUUUAAAGCUACUGUAUCCAACUUAGCUGGGUCUUCUCCAUGGCUUACCUGGUCACAGACUAUGAGAAGAAUGAAGACUUCCUGCGUAAAAUACACAGGGUUUUGCUGGAGGUGAAGGUGCUGGAGGGCUGUCUGCAGUGCCCAGAGUCUGGCCGUGAGUUCCCCAUCUCCCGGGGGGUCCCCAACAUGCUGCUGAAUGAGGCAUAGAGGAGAGUGGUUGGGGGGGGGUUGGUUACCCCCAACAUGGGCUCUUAGAUGUACAGAGAGAAAUACACCACUUAUCCAUACGGUAACCCCCCCAUUCGCCCUUCUCCACCAUCUCACACCAACCAUUCAUUGUAUGGGACUGCUGGCAUUAGAAGUGAGGGCAAAAAAUGGAUUCCUGUUUAAGACUGUAUAGGAAGAAAUAUAUGUUGAAGUGGUUAUAUAGUACAGUACAUGGGGCAAUGGGAUGUGAAUACACCGCCGCCCCCAGAAAACCACAGAACGGAUCUGAAUGCUUCUAUGUUGUCCAAUAUCUGGGAGAUGAUUUUGUUUAAUUUAUUAAUUUAAUAAAAAGUAUAAUUCCUUGG